rnacentral:rRNA from 1 species
CCUACGGGUGGCAGCAGUGAGGAAUAUUGGUCAAUGGGCGGAAGCCUGAACCAGCCAAGCAGCGUGCGGGAUGAAGGCCCUAUGGGUCGUAAACCGCUUUUGCACGGGGAUAACACCCUCCACGUGUGGAGGUCUGCAUGUAUCCGGCGAAUAAGCACCGGCUAAUUCCGUGCCAGCAGCCGCGGUAAUACGGAGGGCGCGAGCGUUAUCCGGAUUCAUUGGGCUUAAAGGGAGCGUAGGCGGGCCGUUAAGUCAGCGGUAAAAUUGCGCGGCUCAACCGCGCCCCGCCGUUGAAACUGGCAGACUUGAGUUGACAAGAGGUAGGCGGAAUGCGCGGUGUAGCGGUGAAAUGCAUAGAGAUCGCGCAGAACCCCGAUUGCGAAGGCAGCGUGCCGGCGCCAGACUGACGCUGAGGCACGAAGGUGCGGGGAUCGAACAGGAUUAGAUACCCGAGUAGUC